rnacentral:rRNA from 1 species
GAUGAACGCUGGCGGCGUGCCUAAUACAUGCAAGUCGAGCGAACAGACGAGGAGCUUGCUCCUCUGACGUUAGCGGCGGACGGGUGAGUAACACGUGGAUAACCUACCUAUAAGACUGGGAUAACUUCGGGAAACCGGAGCUAAUACCGGAUAAUAUAUUGAACCGCAUGGUUCAAUAGUGAAAGACGGUUUUGCUGUCACUUAUAGAUGGAUCCGCGCCGCAUUAGCUAGUUGGUAAGGUAACGGCUUACCAAGGCAACGAUGCGUAGCCGACCUGAGAGGGUGAUCGGCCACACUGGAACUGAGACACGGUCCAGACUCCUACGGGAGGCAGCAGUAGGGAAUCUUCCGCAAUGGGCGAAAGCUUGACGGAGCAACGCCGCGUGAGUGAUGAAGGUCUUCGGAUCGUAAAACUCUGUUAUUAGGGAAGAACAAAUGUGUAAGUAACUAUCCACGUCUUGACGGUACCUAAUCAGAAAGCCACGGCUAACUACGUG